rnacentral:rRNA from 1 species
UACGGGGGGAGCAAGCGUUGUUCGGAUUUACUGGGCGUAAAGGGCGCGUAGGCGGCCAGCACAAGUCAGUUGUGAAAUCUCCGAGCUUAACUCGGAAAGGUCAACUGAUACUGUGCGGCUAGAGUGCGGAAGGGGCAACUGGAAUUCUCGGUGUAGCGGUGAAAUGCGUAGAUAUCAGGAGGAACACCGGUGGCGAAGGCGGGUCUCUGGGCCGAUACUGACGCUGAGGAGCGAAAGCGUGGGGAGCGAACAGG